rnacentral:rRNA from 1 species
UGGCGGCAGGCUUAACACAUGCAAGUCGAGCGGUAGCAGAUCUAGCUUGCUAGAUGCAGACGAGCGGCGGACGGGUGAGUAACGCGUAGGAACCUGCCCAGUAGUGGGGGAUAGCCCGGGGAAACUCGGAUUAAUACCGCAUACGCUCUACGGAGGAAAGAGGGGGCUUCGGCUCUCGCUAUUGGAUGGGCCUGCGUGAGAUUAGCUAGUUGGUGAGGUAAUGGCUCACCAAGGCGACGAUCUCUAGCUGGUCUGAGAGGAUGAUCAGCCACACUGGGACUGAGACACGGCCCAGACUCCUACGGGAGGCAGCAGUGGGGAAUAUUGCACAAUGGGCGCAAGCCUGAUGCAGCCAUGCCGCGUGUGUGAAGAAGGCUUUCGGGUUGUAAAGCACUUUCAGUGGGGAGGAAGGCCUCGUAGUUAAUAGCUGCGAGGAUUGACGUUACCCACAGAAGAAGCACCGGCUAACUCCGUG